UACAGAGGGUGCAAGCGUUGUUCGGAAUUACUGGGCGUAAAGCGCACGUAGGCGGAUACUUAAGUCAGGGGUGAAAUCCCGGGGCUCAACCCCGGAACUGCCUUUGAUACUGGGUAUCUCGAGUCCGGAAGAGGUGAGUGGAAUUCCGAGUGUAGAGGUGAAAUUCGUAGAUAUUCGGAGGAACACCAGUGGCGAAGGCGGCUCACUGGUCCGGUACUGACGCUGAGGUGCGAAAGCGUGGGGAGCAAACAGG
rnacentral:rRNA from 1 species